CAGGGAGCAUACAAGAGGAGUUGAUAAAACUCCGUGGGCAAAAUAACCACCUCUUUACCGGGGCCAGAAAUACUGCCGCAGUCGGAUGGAGAACAAUCCUGCAAAAAACGGGCCUGGAGGGUGAAGUUGAGCCACAACAGGCCAAAAAAAAGUGGGACAACUUG